GAGUUUGAGCCUGGCUCAGGACGACGCUGGCGGCGUGCUUAACACAUGCAAGUCGAACGCUGAAGCUCUGCCCUUGUGGUGGGGGUGGAUGAGUGGCGAACGGGUGAGUAACACGUGGGUAAUCUGCCCCAUACGUCUGGGAUAACCCCUGGAAACGGGGGCUAAUACCGGAUAGGACAUUCUGCCGCAUGGUGGGGUGUGGGAAAGUUCCGGCGGUAUGGGGAUGGGCCCGCGGCCUAUCAGCUUGUUGGUGGGGUAAUGGCCUACCAAGGCGACGACGGGUAGCCGGCCUGAGAGGGUGACCGGCCACACUGGGACUGAGACACGGCCCAGACUCCUACGGGAGGCAGCAGUGGGGAAUCUUGCGCAAUGGGCGAAAGCCUGACGCAGCAACGCCGCGUGGGGGAUGAAGGCCUUCGGGUUGUAAACCUCUUUCACCAUCGACGAAGCUCUUUGGGGUGACGGUAGGUGGGGAAGAAGCACCGGCUAACUACGUG
rnacentral:rRNA from 1 species